UAAAAAAAGGUAAGCUACUAAGAGCGAAUGGUGGAUGCCUUGACUGGUAAAGGCGAUGAAGGACGUACUAGACUGCGAUAAGCUACGGGGAGCUGUCAAGAAGCUUUGAUCCGUAGAUUUCCGAAUGGGGCAACCCAAUGUAUAGAGAUAUACAUUACCUAUAUAGGAGCGAACGAGGGGAAUUGAAACAUCUUAGUACCCUCAGGAAAAGAAAUCAAUAGAGAUUGCGUCAGUAGCGGCGAGCGAAAGCGCAAGAGGGCAAACCCAGUGCUUGCACUGGGGGUUGUAGGACUGCAAUGUGCAAGAGCUGAGUUUAGCAGAACAUUCUGGAAAGUAUAGCCAUAGAGGGUGAUAGUCCCGUAUGCGAAAAACAAAGCUUAGCUAGCAGUAUCCUGAGUAGGGCGGGACACGAGGAAUCCUGUCUGAAUCCGGGUCGACCACGAUCCAACCCUAAAUACUAAUACCAGAUCGAUAGUGCACAAGUACCGUGAGGGAAAGGUGAAAAGAACUGAGGUGAUCAGAGUGAAAUAGAACCUGAAACCAUUUGCUUACAAUCAUUCAGAGCACUAUGUAGCAAUACAGUGUGAUGGACUGCCUUUUGCAUAAUGAGCCUGCGAGUUGUGGUGUCUGGCAAGGUUAAGCAAACGCGAAGCCGUAGCGAAAGCGAGUCUGAAUAGGGCGCUUAGUCAGAUGCUGCAGACCCGAAACGAAGUGAUCUAUCCAUGAGCAAGUUGAAGCUAGUGUAAGAACUAGUGGAGGACUGAACCCAUAGGCGUUGAAAAGCCCCGGGAUGACUUGUGGAUAGGGGUGAAAGGCCAAUCAAACUUCGUGAUAGCUGGUUCUCUCCGAAAUAUAUUUAGGUAUAGCGUUGUGUCGUAAUAUAAGGGGGUAGAGCACUGAAUGGGCUAGGGCAUACACCAAUGUACCAAACCCUAUCAAACUCCGAAUACCUUAUAUGUAAUCACAGCAGUCAGGCGGCGAGUGAUAAAAUCCGUCGUCAAGAGGGAAACAACCCAGACUACCAGCUAAGGUCCCUAAAUCUUACUUAAGUGGAAAACGAUGUGAAGUUACUUAAACAACCAGGAGGUUGGCUUAGAAGCAGCCAUCCUUUAAAGAAAGCGUAAUAGCUCACUGGUCUAGUGAUUUUGCGCGGAAAAUAUAACGGGGCUAAAGUAAGUACCGAAGCUGUAGACUUGCACACAACUUAGAUUAUUUAAGUUUAGAAUAUGAGAAACUAAGUUAUAUGUUUAGUUAUAUUUUUACUGAUUUUUAUAGAGUAAAGAUAGAAAUAAAACUUAAUAAAAUCAGUAAAAAUAUUCUUAGGCUAAAGUUAAGUAGUUUAAGUUGUGUGCAAGUGGUAGGAGAGCGUUCUAUUUGCGUCGAAGGUAUACCGGUAAGGAGUGCUGGAGCGAAUAGAAGUGAGCAUGCAGGCAUGAGUAGCGAUAAUUAAUGUGAGAAUCAUUAACGCCGUAAACCCAAGGUUUCCUACGCGAUGCUCG
rnacentral:rRNA from 1 species